AGCGAACGCUGGCGGCAGGCCUAACACAUGCAAGUCGAACGAACUCUUCGGAGUUAGCGGCGGACGUGCGAGUAACACGUUGGAACGUGCCUUUUGGUUCGGAAUAACUCAGGGAAACUUGUGCUAAUACCGCAUGUGCCCUUCGGGGGAAAGAUUUAUCGCCAUUAGAGCGGCCCGCGGCUGAUUAGCUAGUUGGUGUGGUAACGGCUCACCAAGGCGACGACCAGUAGCUGGUCUGAGAGGAUGACCAGCCACACUGGGACUGAGACACGGCCCAGACUCCUACGGGAGGCAGCAGUGGGGAAUCUUGCGCAAUGGGCGAAAGCCUGACGCAGCCAUGCCGCGUGAAUGAUGAAGGUCUUAGGAUUGUAAAAUUCUUUCACCGGGGACGAUAAUGACGGUACCCGGAGAAGAAGCCCCGGCUAACUUCGUG
rnacentral:rRNA from 1 species